CGAGCGGACAGAAGGGAGCUUGCUCCCGGAUGUUAGCGGCGGACGGGUGAGUAACACGUGGGUAACCUGCCUGUAAGACUGGGAUAACUCCGGGAAACCGGAGCUAAUACCGGAUAGUUCCUUGAACCGCAUGGUUCAAGGAUGAAAGACGGUUUCGGCUGUCACUUACAGAUGGACCCGCGGCGCAUUAGCUAGUUGGUGGGGUAAUGGCUCACCAAGGCGACGAUGCGUAGCCGACCUGAGAGGGUGAUCGGCCACACUGGGACUGAGACACGGCCCAGACUCCUACGGGAGGCAGCAGUAGGGAAUCUUCCGCAAUGGACGAAAGUCUGACGGAGCAACGCCGCGUGAGUGAUGAAGGUUUUCGGAUCGUAAAGCUCUGUUGUUAGGGAAGAACAAGUGCGAGAGUAACUGCUCGCACCUUGACGGUACCUAACCAGAAAGCCACGGCUAACUACGUGCCAGCAGCCGCGGUAAUACGUAGGUGGCAAGCGUUGUCCGGAAUUAUUGGGCGUAAAGGGCUCGCAGGCGGUUUCUUAAGUCUGAUGUGAAAGCCCCCGGCUCAACCGGGGAGGGUCAUUGGAAACUGGGAAACUUGAGUGCAGAAGAGGAGAGUGGAAUUCCACGUGUAGCGGUGAAAUGCGUAGAGAUGUGGAGGAACACCAGUGGCGAAGGCGACUCUCUGGUCUGUAACUGACGCUGAGGAGCGAAAGCGUGGGGAGCGAACAGGAUUAGAUACCCUGGUAGUCCACGCCGUAAACGAUGAGUGCUAAGUGUUUAGGGGGUUUCCGCCCCUUAGUGCUGCAGCUAACGCAUUAAGCACUCCGCCUGGGGGAGUACGGUCGCAAGACUGAAACUCAAAGGAAUUUGACGGGGGCCCGCACAAGCGGUGGAAGCAUGGGGGUUUAAUUCGAAGCAACGCGAAGAACCUUACCAGGUCUUGACAUCCUCUGACAACCCUAGAAGAUAGGGCUUUCCCUUCGGGGACAGAGUUGACAGGUGGGGGGCAUGGUUGUCGUCAGCUCGUGUCG
rnacentral:rRNA from 1 species